rnacentral:rRNA from 1 species
UACGGAGGGUGCAAGCGUUGUCCGGAUUUAUUGGGUUUAAAGGGUGCGUAGGCGGCUUCAUAAGUCCGUGGUGAAAGCCAACAGCUCAACUGUUGAACUGCCAUGGAUACUGUGAGGCUUGAGUACAGACGAGGUAGGCGGAAUGGAUCGUGUAGCGGUGAAAUGCAUAGAUACGAUCCAGAACACCGAUUGCGUAGGCAGCUUACUAGGCUGUAACUGACGCUGAGGCACGAAAGCGUGGGGAGCGAACAGG